UUGUUAUCUUUGGUUAUCUAGCUGUAUGAGUGGUGUACAUUCUUCAUAAAGCUAGAUAACCGAAAGUAACAAGAAUCCCAUUACACACCUGAAAGGCAACCAGACGCCCCACCAUCAUCAGCAAUCCAGACACAAAAUGGCUUAUACCAAACCAAAGCUGCGAGUAGUCCAUGGACACAAAGCCUUGAGAGGGUACCAGCACAUUCUGCGCCGAGGAAGCUGAGAAAAACGGAGAAAGAGGAGGAGGGGCUGCCAUUCCAACACCAGCCCCAGUCCGCCCUCCCUUUCCCAGCCUCCUCUGCUGAUGCGUCCCCUCCUCCCCUUCCUCCCUGGCUGCCUGCCCCCUUCCCCUGUAUCUAAGAUGCAGCCCACGCCACCAUCUUAGGAAAAAGGCUGGCAUGAAAUGGAAGAGCAAACCCAAGCAGGUGCAAGUGGCCACUGACUCUCUGCCUCGGGUUCUGAGAACGAACAGAGACCCUUUGUGAAGUCAUCUUGACCUGCGGAGAUGAGCCAUCACUAGAAUGUGCACUGUGCCUCAGUCUUGACCAAGGCACAACCCUCAACAGGUCUGCUUGGAACCAGAAUCGAAAAAAUGUGCUGUUUCAAUCAGGUUCUUGCCCCAACAUUUGAUUAUAGAAGCACUUCAUCCAAAUGGCUGAGCUUUUGGGACCUGAUUAGAAGCUGGACUUGUGUUUUGAGGACUGGACGUCAGUCUUCAAGAUCAAGACUGGAUUGGUUGGAGCAUGGCCUUUGAUCAUCUGACCUCUCACAAGCUGUGUUGACCUUCAGUGACAAACUGGGAAUUCUGCCCCUGCCCUGGCAAGAGGACCUGGAUUUCAAGAAACAUUUUGGAUAGAGAGACUCCAGAAGAUACAUACAUGUGUGGAUAUACAUGUCAGAAAAAAAAUUGACAGCACUUGUUUUAUGUCUUUUAAAUCCCCUAGAGUUGGGGCGACUUGCUCUUGGUCCAAGAGGGCAACAACCCCACCAGGUUUUCCAGCUCUUUUUAAACCACUUAUGUCCUCAUACCUGGGGAUAAGGGUCAGUGGGUUCAGUUAAGAUGAUUAGCUGAGUCAGGUGGGUUCAUGUUUUGGAGGAGUGAAAACAUACCAACAUAGUGGCCUUCCAGGACCAAGAGUGAGUAGCCCUGUAUGGGAGGGACACAGACAGGAAUCAUUCUGGUGCCUUCUGUACAACUACUGCAUAACACCACACUUCCACAUAUGGACAGUGUGUCAACAUGUCGCUCUGGAUAAGAGUGUCUGCCAAAUGACUAAAUUUGAAUGUAAAUAUGUACAUUCAGUAUAGGGUUAAUGUCUCAAAGCUGCCUCUGUAUGUCCUUACAGGCAGUGCAAGGUUAAGAAUAGCAGACUCAGUAACAUCUCAUGGAUAGUAAUGAUGAUACACUUCUAACAAAAAUAGUAAUUAUUUCCAUUUUGACAUUAUAUGUAAAAACACAGUGAUCUGCCUAUUGCCUUCAUCACAUCUGGACUGGACUGAUGCACACAAGCUGACUCUGACGUUUGUAUCAUGCUCUGCAGCCAUAUAGCCCGGACCCAUUCAACAGUAGAACAUGAGCAUCUGCUGAUUAACAGCAAACAUCUGCCAACAAAGGUUCUUGAGUCAAACUAAAUCUGUAUUUAAGACAUGUUCCUCCUGAACAAUUUCAGUAUUUCAUGAAAUUUGACCAGGAUAUGUCUUGGCCUGCAUGAUUUUUAUAAGAACUCUGAGUUCUUGUUUGUGCAUCUUUCAUAUACAUUUUGCCAUGGCCUAUUCCUAAAAGCAUUCUUCACAAUUUGCAGGUAUCUGAAUGUAUAACCCAUGGCAGCAGUGAAAGGAACUGCACUGUGAUUGGACAGCCCUGUGUGUUUGUUGACACACGAGUAGAGGAGUGAGCUGUCAUCUUUAUUGACUAUGCAACUGUGAGAUGAGGCUGUAGGUAGCCCUCCACUCCACCUCAGGAUGCGUGGCUACAGGCCCUAAUAUAGCUAAUUGCACUGAUAGGGCAGCAAAGGCAUACAGCUAUAAUCACAUAGAUAAGUGUUGGCAGUGAUAUUCACACUUUCGUCUACAGCCGCAAAGACCUGGAACAUCUUAAACCUCUAUGCAAUUUUAGUGCUAUUUCUGUCCCUGGGAUUGAGGUUGGUGUCUGGGGGGCAGGGAGGUGAUAUACUUUCUUGCACAUUAGAUAAAAUGGGGGGGAAUUAAUGAGUGGGAAAAAUCAUACCAGACAGUUUACAAUUUUCCAAGUUCAUAUUUGAUACAAAUGUAUUGAUUUAAUAAGUGCUGACUCAAUGUUCAACUUCAAACUAAUGUUUUGUUCUAGAAUGUUCCUGAGCAGCAUUAUGUCAGGUCACAGAGUUUCUAGCGAUACGAGAGAUCAAGGCACAUUUGAGAGAUCUGUCUGACUCAUGUAAGCAUUUUAAAAAGCAAAAGAAGCCACUCCACAGAGUUCCAUGAGAUACAUUUUAACAACAUGAAUGUAUUGAAAUUUAAACUUUACUUGAAUAAUUAUAAUAAUCCUGCUCUUGAUGAUAAAUUCGAGCAAACACUAACACACACACACACACACACACACACACACACACACACACACACACACACACACACACACACACACGCACACUUCCACUCAGCAAAUGGAAUUUUUAAGCAUGUACUAUCAGAUAUUAUAUUUAUUUAUUAAUUAAAGGGAUUCUAUAUCUAUUUCAGGGGUAGUGGCAAACAUUUAAUCCUUCAUAAUGUUCUAUGCAAAUUAGACUAUUAUCUAA